CAAUAGCCCUGAUAGUAGUGAAAAUCCUAUUUUGUUUUUGCUGCCAAAAACAAAAUAGAUUGCAACGAAUAGCGGGAAUAGCU
rnacentral:sRNA from 1 species